rnacentral:misc_RNA from 1 species
AAGUCGUAACAAGGUUUCCGUAGGUGAACCUGCGGAAGGAUCAUUAGAAUGAGUAGCCGGACCAUGUCGUGGGCGAAAGCUCGUCACGUGCCAGUAAGCGCCCGUAACCUCCACCCUUGUGUAAUUAUUCUUCUGUUGCUUUGGCAGGCCGCGACCCUCAAUGGGGGAGCGCUUGGCAUCUGCGUGUGAGUGCUGCCGCGAGCAACAUCUGUAAUUUAAUGCCGUCUGAGUACUACGAAAAUAGUUAAAA